rnacentral:tRNA from 1 species
GCUGGAUUAUCUCAACUGGUAGAGAACCUGUUUUGUAAUCAGGGGGUUCGUGGUUCAAGUCCUCGAUUCAGCACCA